GAUGCAGGUGGGGGUGUGAGAGGGGAUGGUGGCGAGCUCGGUGCACGGGUGCGUGUGCCAGGCUGCUGGGAGUGAGCGCGAGGCUGUGUGUCACAGCUGUUGUUCACUGAGACCGAGCUAACAUCAGCUCAGUCCACAGCUACCUGUGAAGGAAGACGGCCGCACCAGGAGACACCUGUUUGAGCUGGUGGGUGGACCUCCUGGCUCCUGACUGCUCUGUUCUCGAUGUGCCUUGGAAGGGUCUUUGAGUGCAAGCUCCUUCUGGGGAGAUGGCCGUGUCUGGCCCACGUCUUCAGGUGCUCACAGGACUGUGAGGAAUUUGCAAAUCCAGGUUUAAGGUUUGGGAAGCGAGGCUUUGUGACCUGCCUGCCUGUCUCAGCGUCUUGCGGUUCUCACAGGUAAGAGCGCUUUUGUUCUUUGGUGCUGGUGCUGGUGGCUCUGCAUUAAGGGG
rnacentral:lncRNA from 1 species